AUUGAACGCUGGCGGCAGGCCUAACACAUGCAAGUCGAGCGGGGUUUUCGGACCUAGCGGCGGACGGGUGGGUAAUGCGUAGGAAGCUACCCGAUAGAGGGGGAUACCAGUUGGAAACGACUGUUAAUACCGCAUAAUGUCUACGGACCAAAGUGUGGGACCUUCGGGCCACAUGCUAUCGGAUGCGCCUACGUGGGAUUAGCUAGUUGGUGAGGUAAUGGCUCACCAAGGCGACGAUCCCUAGCUGGUUUGAGAGGAUGAUCAGCCACACUGGAACUGAGACACGGUCCAGACUCCUACGGGAGGCAGCAGUGGGGAAUAUUGGACAAUGGGCGCAAGCCUGAUCCAGCCAUGCCGCGUGUGUGAAGAAGGCCUUCGGGUUGUAAAGCACUUUCAGUAGGGAGGAAGCGUUGUGUGUUAAUAGUACACAGCGUUGACGUUACCUACAGAAGAAGCACCGGCUAACUCUGUGCCAGCCGCCGCAGUAACAC
rnacentral:rRNA from 1 species